rnacentral:lncRNA from 1 species
ACGCCAGAGUAGAAUGGAAGGCGUGAUGGUGUAUGGGCCGUACUUUGGAGGGGGUAUGUGCCGUACUUUGGAGGUACCGUGGAGAAGUUUCUGGAGGAGCAUUAAUUGUCAGGCGUUAGUAUUGUUGUAUAUUGCAAUCACUUUCACAGAUGCCGCCACGCUUUUGACAUUGCGCGGAUGCUAUUUCGGAAAAACUGAAAUGGAAAAGAUAGGCAUUGAAGGUUGCAACUCAUUGCCUUCAAGGAUUUAUAAUAUGGAGGAAUUUGAUGCCCUCUAUAUUGUCGUUUUAUUCUUUUAAGUCAAAGUUGAUAGCUCAUCGGGACUUGGUGAGUUUUAAUCCACAACUAUUGACGUGUGGAGUGCUGCUCCACACGAUAAGGAUGGAGCGUGUGCCAUGCUUUGAAGAUAUUCG